UAGGUGGCCGUUACUCCCCAGAAUAAGCACCCGUUAAUUUCUGUCCCAGCAGCCGCGGUAAUACAGAGGGUGCAAGCGUUAAUCGGAUUUACUGGGCGUAAAGCGCGCGUAGGCGGCUUAUUAAGUCGGAUGUGAAAUCCCCGGAGCUUAACUUGGGAAUUGCAUUCGAUACUGGUGAGCUAGAGUAUGGGAGAGGAUGGUAGAAUUCCAGGUGUAGCGGUGAAAUGCGUAGAGAUCUGGAGGAAUACCGAUGGCGAAGGCAGCCAUCUGGCCUAAUACUGACGUUGAGGUGCGAAAGCAUGGGGAGCAAACAGGAUUAGAUACCCUGGUAGUCCAUGCCGUAAACGAUGUCUACUAGCCGUUGGGGCCCUUGAGGCUUUAGUGGCGCAGCUAACGCGAUAAGUAGACCGCCUGGGGAGUACGGUCGCAAGAUUAAAACUCAAUUGAAUUGACGGGGGCCCGCACAAGCGGUGGAGCAUGUGGUUUAUUUCGAUGCAACGCGAAGAACCUUACCUGCCCUUGACAUCCAGAGAACUUUCCAGAGAUGGAUUGGUGCCUUCGGGAAUUUUGAUACAGGUGCUGCAUGGCUGUCGUCAGCUCGUGUCGUGAGAUGUUGGGUUAAGUCCCGCAACGAGCGCAACCCUUUUCCUUAUUUGCCAGCAGUUCGGGUGGGAACUUUAAGGAGACUGCCAGUGACAAACUGGAGGAAGGCGGGGACGACGUCAAGUCAUCAUGGCCCUUACGGCCAGGGCUACACACGUGCUACAAUGGUCGGUACAAAGGGUUGCUACCCCGCGAGCGGAUGCUAAUCUCAAAAAGCCGAUCGUAGUCCGGAUCGCAGUCUGCAACUCGACUGCGUGAAGUCGGAAUCGCUAGUAAUCGCGGAUCAGAAUGCCGCGGUGAAUACGUUCCCGGGCCUUGUACACACCGCCCGUCACACCAUGGGAGUUUGUUGCACCAGAAGUAGGUAGUCUAACCUUAGGGAGGACGCUUACCACGGUGUGGCCC
rnacentral:rRNA from 1 species